CUGAUUUUAAUUUCUUUUAUUUCUUUUAAUUCCAUUUCACUUUAAAAAAUCAUAUCUCUCUCAUUAUUGGUCCAAAAAUUAUGGGACCAAUUUCAUUCUUCUCCUUUUAAUUUCUACUUUCUACUUUUUGAAUGAUGAUAGAUCUAUGAAAAAUAUUCUCAUCAAUUUAUUAAUUGAUUUGAGAUUUAUUCGAGAUUUUAGUUCAAUUACGUUAUUUUUAUGCAUUUUUAAUUGAUUUAAAAACAGUUUCU
rnacentral:lncRNA from 1 species